rnacentral:lncRNA from 1 species
GGGCAAGCUAAGGUUUGUGAAACCAGUUCUGCCAGCAUGGGCCUCCACCCAGGUCUGGCUGCUGAAAGGAGAGGUCUGGAAGAAAGAAGGGUAUUUCUGGAGCUUCCCAUGUAGGCCGGUGCCUGUGGAGAGCCCCGGAUGAAGUACAGAGGCCAGUUUUCCUGCCGCAACACUGCUGUUCCUUCCCAGCCUUGACAAGCUGCAUCGCUGUGCAUAGCUGUUUUCUUCUUUGCUUCCUCCGUAUCUCUGCACCAAGUUCACCCUGGGACCUGCACCAGUUGAGACCCAAGAUCCGGGAGCUCUGCCUGCUGGGCUCAUCCUGGGAGAACUUCUGUAGGAGAGAACCUCACCCAGCCCCACC